GGGUCUCGCUCGUUGCCUGACUUAACAGGAUGCUUCACAGUACGAACUGACGACGGCCAUGCACCACCUCUCAGCUAAUCCGGUAAAGUCUUCAGCCUGACCUUCAUAUCGCUGUCGCCCCCGGUGACAUUUCCGGCGUUGAAUCCAAUUAAACCGCAGGCUCCACCCGUUGUAGUGCUCCCCCGCCAAUUCCUUUAAGUUUCAGCCUUGCGGCCAUACUUCCCAGGUGGCUCGCUUCACGGCUUCCCUACGGCACCAAUCACGGUCGCACCGUGACUGACACCUAGCGAGCAUCGUUUACGGCUAGGACUACCCGGGUAUCUAAUCCGGUUCGUGCCCCUAGCUUUCGUCCCUUACCGUCGGACCCGUUCUGGUGAGACGCCUUCGCCACUGGUGGUCCCUCGAGGAUCACAAGAUUUCACCCCUACCCCCAAGGUACCUCUCACCUCUCCCGGUCCCAAGCCAAACAGUAUCCCCUAGCAGCCUGACAGUUGAGCUGCCAGAUUUCCCAAGGGACUUACCUGGCCGGCUACAGACCCUUUAGACCCAAUAAUAACGGUUACCACUCGAGCCGCCGGUGUUACCGCGGCGGCUGGCACCGGUCUUGCCCGGCCCUUGCUAUGAAAUGCUUUUUAGGCAUCUCGACAGCCAGAUUUGUAACCUGGCACUCGAGGUUCCCUUAUCGCUGUUGCCAGCAUUGUAAAGUUUUCGCGCCUGCUGCACCCCGUAGGGCCUGGAUUCGUGUCUCAGAAUCCAUCUCCGGGCUCUUGCUCUCACAACCCGUACCCGUCGUAGGCUAGUAGGUACGCUACACCCACUACUACCUGAUAGGCCGCAGACCCAUCCUUAGGCGCCGGAGCUUUUAAUCUCGGUGCAUUCCAGCAGCCGAGACUUAUAGGGGAUUAUACCCAGUUUCCCGGGUUUAUACCCAACCUAAGGGCAGGUUGUCCACGUGUUACUGAGCAGUACGCCAUGUAUUGCUACAUUCGACUCGCAUGGCUUAGUCGAACCUCGAUAGCAGUAACCUCUGGCAGGAUCAACCGGA
rnacentral:rRNA from 1 species